CGGGGCGUGGCGCAGUCUGGUAGCGCACUGGCAUGGGGGGUCAGUGGUCGGCCGUUCAAAUCGGCUCGCCCCGACCA
rnacentral:tRNA from 2 species